ACGUAGGUGGCAAGCGUUGUCCGGAAUUACUGGGCGUAAAGGGCGCGUAGGCGGCCUGCUAAGUCGAACGUGAAAUCCCUGGGCUCAACCCAGGAACUGCGUCCGAUACUGGUUGGCUUGGAUCCGGGAGAGGGAUGUGGAAUUCCAGGUGUAGCGGUGAAAUGCGUAGAUAUCUGGAGGAACACCGGUGGCGAAGGCGGCAUCCUGGACCGGCAUUGACGCUGAGGCGCGAAAGCCAGGGGAGCAAACGGGA
rnacentral:rRNA from 1 species